CCUACGGGGGGCUGCAGUGGGGGAUAUUGCACAAUGGGGGGAACCCUGAUGCAGCGACGCCGCGUGAAUGAUGAAGGUCUUCGGAUUGUAAAGUUCUUUUCUAAGGGAAGAAGAAAGUGACGGUACCUUAGGAAUAAGCCUCGGCUAACUACGUGCCAGCAGCCGCGGUAAUACGUAGGAGGCGAGCGUUAUCCGGAAUGACUGGGGGGAAGGGGUGCGUAGGGGGUUUGACAAGUUGGUAGCGUAACUCCGAGGCUCAACCUCGGCACUACUACCAAAACUGUCGGACUUGAGUGCAGGAGGGGCAAUUGGAAUUCCUAGUGUAGCGGUGGAAUGCGCAGAUAUUAGGAGGAACACCGGUGGCGAAGGCGAAUUGCUGGACUGUAACUGACACUGAGGCACGAAAGCGUGGGGAGCAAACAGGAUUAGAUACCCCAGUAGUC
rnacentral:rRNA from 1 species